rnacentral:tRNA from 1 species
GAAAGAUGCCUGAAAAAAAGGAUUAUUUUGAUAUAAUAAAUUAUGUGUGAUUACUCUUUCUAA